rnacentral:rRNA from 1 species
GUGAGGAAUAUUGGUCAAUGGGCGGGAGCCUGAACCAGCCAAGUCGCGUGAAGGAAGAAGGAUCUAUGGUUCGUAAACUUCUUUUGCAGGGGAAUAAAGUGCAGGACGUGUCCUGUUUUGUAUGUACCCUGAGAAUAAGGAUCGGCUAACUCCGUGCCAGCAGCCGCGGUAAUACGGAGGAUCCGAGCGUUAUCCGGAUUUAUUGGGUUUAAAGGGUGCGUAGGUGGUUUGAUAAGUCAGCGGUGAAAGUUUGCAGCUUAACUGUAAAAAUGCCGUUGAAACUGUCGGACUUGAGUGUAAAUGAGGUAGGCGGAAUGCGUGGUGUAGCGGUGAAUUGCAUAGAUAUCACGCAGAACUCCGAUUGCGAAGGCAGCUUACUAAGCUACAACUGACACUGAAGCACGAAAGCGUGGGGAUCAAACAGGAUUAGAAACCCGGGUAGUCC